rnacentral:rRNA from 1 species
GUAACGGCGAGUGAAGAGGGAAAAGCUCAAAUUUAAAAUCUGGCGGUCUACGGCCGUCCGAGUUGUAAUCUAGAGAAGUGUUUUCCGCGCUGGACCGUGUACAAGUCCUUUGGAACAAGGCGUCAUAGAGGGUGAGAAUCCCGUCUACGACACGGACUGCCAAGCGCUUUGUGAUACACUCUCAACGAGUCGAGUUGUUUGGGAAUGCAGCUCAAAAUGGGUGGUAAAUUCCAUCUAAAGCUAAAUAUUGGCGAAAGACCGAUAGCGAACAAGUACCGUGAGGGAAAGAUGAAAAGCACUUUGGAAAGAGAGUUAAACAGUACGUGAAAUUGUUGAAAGGGAAACGCUUGAAGUCAGUCGCGUCUUCAGAAAUUCAGCUGGGCUUCUGCCUAGUGUACUUUUCUGUGGGACGGGCCAGCAUCAGUUUUGGCUGCCAGAAAAAGGUGGGAGGAAGGUGGCACCUCCGGGUGUGUUAUAGCCUCUGAUCGUAUGUGGCAGCCGGGAUUGAGGACCGCAGCACGCCUUUAUGGCCGGGGUUCGCCCACGUAACGUGCUUAGGAUGCUGGCGUAAUGGCUUUAAACGACCCGUCUUGAAACACGGACCAAGGAGUCUAACAUGCCUGCGAGUAUUUGGGUGGCAAACCCAUAUGCGGAAUGAAAGUGAACAGUUGGGACUUCUGUCAUGGAAGGCACCGACGCCCGGACCAGACCUAUUGUGACGGAUCCGAGGUAGAGCAUGUAUGUUGGGACCCGAAAGAUGGUGAACUAUGCCUGAGUAGGGUGAAGCCAGAGGAAACUCUGGUGGAGGCUCGUAGCGAUUCUGACGUGCAAAUCGAUCGUCGAACUUGGGUAUAGGGGCGAAAGACUAAUCGAACCAUCUAGUAGC